rnacentral:rRNA from 1 species
AGCGAACGCUGGCGGCAGGCUUAACACAUGCAAGUCGAACGAACUCUUCGGAGUUAGUGGCGGACGGGUGAGUAACACGUGGGAACGUGCCUUUAGGUUCGGAAUAACUCAGGGAAACUUGAGCUAAUACCGAAUGUGCCCUUCGGGGGAAAGAUUUAUCGCCUUUAGAGCGGCCCGCGUCUGAUUAGCUAGUUGGUGAGGUAAAAGCUCACCAAGGCGACGAUCAGUAGCUGGUCUGAGAGGAUGACCAGCCACAUUGGGACUGAGACACGGCCCAAACUCCUACGGGAGGCAGCAGUGGGGAAUCUUGCGCAAUGGGCGAAAGCCUGACGCAGCCAUGCCGCGUGGAUGAUGAAGGUCUUAGGAUUGUAAAGCUCUUUCAGCGAGGAAGAUAAUGACUGUACUCGCAGAAGAAGCCCCGGCUAACUCCGUGCCAGCAGCCGCAGUAACAC